GACGAACGCUGGCGGCGUGCCUAAUACAUGCAAGUAGAACGCUGAAGGAGGAGCUUGCUUCUCUGGAUGAGUUGCGAACGGGUGAGUAACGCGUAGGUAACCUGCCUGGUAGCGGGGGAUAACUAUUGGAAACGAUAGCUAAUACCGCAUAACAGUAGAUAUCGCAUGAUAUCUACUUGAAAGGUGCAAUUGCAUCACUACCAGAUGGACCUGCGUUGUAUUAGCUAGUUGGUGAGGUAACGGCUCACCAAGGCGACGAUACAUAGCCGACCUGAGAGGGUGAUCGGCCACACUGGGACUGAGACACGGCCCAGACUCCUACGGGAGGCAGCAGUAGGGAAUCUUCGGCAAUGGACGGAAGUCUGACCGAGCAACGCCGCGUGAGUGAAGAAGGUUCUCGGAUCGUAAAGCUCUGUUGUAAGAGAAGAACGAGUGUGAGAGUGGAAAGUUCACACUGUGACGGUAUCUUACCAGAAAGGGACGGCUAACUACGUG
rnacentral:rRNA from 1 species